UACAGAGGUCUCAAGCGUUGUUCGGAUUCAUUGGGCGUAAAGGGUGCGUAGGCGGCGGAGCAAGUCUGAUGUGAAAUCCCGGGGCUCAACCCCGGAACUGCAUUGGAUACUGCUCUGCUUGAGCACUGGAGAGGAGACUGGAAUUUACGGUGUAGCAGUGAAAUGCGUAGAGAUCGUAAGGAAGACCAGUGGCGAAGGCGAGUCUCUGGACAGUUCCUGACACUGAGACACGAAGGCCAGGGGAGCAAACGGG
rnacentral:rRNA from 1 species